GAUGAAGAACGUAGCGAAAUGCGAUACUUGGUGUGAAUUGCAGAAUCCCGUGAACCAUCGAGUCUUUGAACGCAAGUUGCGCCCGAAGCCAUUAGGCCGAGGGCACGCCUGCCUGGGCGUCACACGUCGUUGCCCCCCCCAUCUACUCCUUCGGGAUUGCGGGGGGCGGAUGAUGGCCUCCCGUGCGCCUCGCCGCGCGGUUGGCAUAAAUGCCAAGUCCUCGGCGACGCACGCCACGACAAUCGGUGGUUGCGAAACCUCGGUUGCCCGUCGUGUGCGGUCGUCGCGCAUCGAGGGCUCGAAAAAAUUGCCGAGUUCCGGCUCGGCUUUCAACGCAACCCCAGGUCAGGCGGGGUUACCCGCUGAAUUUAAGCAUAUCAAUAAGCGGAGGA
rnacentral:misc_RNA from 1 species